rnacentral:rRNA from 1 species
UGGGGAAUAUUGGACAAUGGGCGAAAGCCUGAUCCAGCCAUGCCGCGUGUGUGAAGAAGGUCUUCGGAUUGUAAAGCACUUUAAGUUGGGAGGAAGGGCAGUAAGCGAAUACCUUGCUGUUUUGACGUUACCGACAGAAUAAGCACCGGCUAACUCUGUGCCAGCAGCCGCGGUAAUACAGAGGGUGCCAGCGUUAAUCGGAAUUACUGGGCGUAAAGCGCGCGUAGGUGGUUCGUUAAGUUGAAUGUGAAAGCCCCGGGCUCAACCUGGGAACUGCAUCCAAAACUGGCGAGCUAGAGUAGGGCAGAGGGUGGUGGAAUUUCCUGUGUAGCGGUGAAAUGCGUAGAUAUAGGAAGGAACACCAGUGGCGAAGGCGACCACCUGGGCUCAUACUGACACUGAGGUGCGAAAGCGUGGGGAGCAAACAGG